rnacentral:rRNA from 2 species
CCUGGUGAAAUUAGCGCUGUGGAACCACCCGAUCCCAUCCCGAACUCGGAAGUGAAACGCAGCUGCGCCGAUGGUAGUGUGGCUCAAGC